rnacentral:piRNA from 1 species
UAAAUGCCUCCCACGUACUCAUUGAAAAC